rnacentral:rRNA from 1 species
GACGGGGGCCCGCACAAGCGGAGGAACAUGUGGUUUAAUUCGAUGAUACGCGAGGACCUUACCUGGGCUUAAAUGUAGAGUGCAUUCUUUAGAGAUAGAAAUUCCCUUCGGGGCUUUCUGCAAGGUGCUGCAUGGUUGUCGUCAGCUCGUGCCGUGAGGUGUCGGGUUAAGUCCCAUAACGAGCGCAACCCUUAUCGUUAGUUGCCAGCUGGUAAAGCAGGGGACUCUAGCGAAACUGCCACCGUAAGGUGAGAGGAAGGUGGGAUGGCGUCAAAUCAGCACGGCCCUUAUGUCCAGGGCUACACACGUGUUACAAUGGCCGGCACAGAGGGCAGCUACCUGGUGACAGGAUGCUAAUCUCGAAAACCGGUCUCAGUUCGGAUCGAAGUCUGCAACUCGACUUCGUGAAGCUGGAUUCGCUAGUAAUCGCGCAUCAGCCAUGGCGCGGUGAAUACGUUCCCGGGCCUU